rnacentral:rRNA from 1 species
GAUCAUGGCUCAGGAUGAACGCUAGCUACAGGCUUAACACAUGCAAGUCGAGGGGCAUCAGGGUGUAGCAAUACACCGCUGGCGACCGGCGCACGGGUGAGUAACGCGUAUCCAACCUGCCCAUCACCUGGGAAUAACCUUGCGAAAGUAAGACUAAUGCCCAAUGAUAUCCCACGAAGGCAUCCGAAUGGGAUUAAAGAUUUAUCGGUGAUGGAUGGGGAUGCGU